GACGAACGCUGGCGGCGUGCCUAAUACAUGCAAGUCGAGCGGACCACUUCGGUGGUCAGCGGCGGACGGGUGAGUAACACGUGGGCAACCUGCCUGUAAGACUGGGAUAACACCGGGAAACCGGUGCUAAUACCGGAUAAUCCUUUCCUUCACAUAAGGGAAAGCUGAAAGACGGUUUCGGCUGUCACUUACAGAUGGGCCCGCGGCGCAUUAGCUAGUUGGUGAGGUAACGGCUCACCAAGGCAACGAUGCGUAGCCGACCUGAGAGGGUGAUCGGCCACACUGGGACUGAGACACGGCCCAGACUCCUACGGGAGGCAGCAGUAGGGAAUCUUCCGCAAUGGACGAAAGUCUGACGGAGCAACGCCGCGUGAGCGAUGAAGGCCUUCGGGUCGUAAAGCUCUGUUGUCAGGGAAGAACAAGUACCGGAGUAACUGCCGGUACCUUGACGGUACCUGACCAGAAAGCCACGGCUAACUACGUGCCAGCCGCCGCGGUAACAC
rnacentral:rRNA from 1 species